GGGAUUAGGAAAGCGCCAUUUACACCAAACAUUUUGGCCGAGUCUUUUUGAGUUUAUAGGUUUUGUUAAAUAAUGCAAAGCUCAUAAUACCAUUAGUAUGGGCUAGACAUCAAUUAUAGCAUGUUCCAAGAAAUUAGUAACAAAUGAGAAAGAAGCCAGGGCUAUGCCUCUUGAAAACUCUCAAACACAAAGUGCAGCAGUGUAUGGUGCUGAUCAAUCCAAUUAUGGCUAUGAUACCUCUCAAACAUAUUAUCAGGAAACUGCGCCAUCACAAAUGCAGCCUAGUGUUCCCAGCAGUCCAUAUGGUGGAAAUUAUCAACCUCCCUCAAGUUCUCCUUAUGUAGCAUACGGAACUCCUGCUCCCUAUCAGCCCCCAAAUAUAUUCCUUCCAUCACAGACAUCUUCCCAGGUAUUUUUUG